rnacentral:rRNA from 1 species
AUUGAACGCUGGCGGCGUGCUUUACACAUGCAAGUCGAACGGUAACAGGGUGCUUGCACCGCUGACGAGUGGCGAACGGGUGAGUAAUGCGUCGGAACGUGCCGAGUAGUGGGGGAUAACGCAGCGAAAGCUGUGCUAAUACCGCAUACGUACUGAGGUAGAAAGUGGGGGACCUUCGGGCCUCACGCUAUUCGAGCGGCCGACGUCUGAUUAGCUAGUAGGUGAGGUAAGAGCUCACCUAGGCGACGAUCAGUAGCGGGUCUGAGAGGAUGAUCCGCCACACUGGGACUGAGACACGGCCCAGACUCCUACGGGAGGCAGCAGUGGGGAAUUUUGGACAAUGGGCGCAAGCCUGAUCCAGCCAUGCCGCGUGUCUGAAGAAGGCCUUCGGGUUGUAAAGGACUUUUGUCAGGGAGGAGAUCCUAGUGGCUAAUAACUACUGGGGAUGACAGUACCUGAAGAAUAAGCACCGGCUAACUACGUGCCAGCCGCCGCAGUAAUAC